CCGAAGGCGGCUUUGCUGUGUUCACCCUCCGGGAGAAGCCAGGUGGGCGCCGCGGGAUGGGGGACCCCCGCCACGGGGCGCCCCUCCGCCUCCGGGGCAUUGGGACAGCCCUCCGGUCCUCGGUCCCCUAGAGAACCCCCUCUGCGGUUAUGCGGCUCUGCCUCAGUCACAUGAAUGAAACUCCGCUGCAAGGGCUUUUUUAUUUUAACGGUGAGGGGCUAGAGGGGGUUGGCAUCCACUGAUCUCUGGGGAAGCAAGACACAGCCUGACUCCAAGGAGGCCAGCAUCACCCAUGCACGGAUGAGCGCAGGGGCUGCCUCAGUAAAUCCAGCCGACUUCCACGCUGGAGGCCCUGGGAGUCCAGCUCCUCUGAGCUGACCAAGGAGACAGGACUGGGAUCCCGACGGCCUUGCGAUCAUGGCCCUGCACGACAGACCCUGCAGCCACACUGCCGGCCAGGGGAGGUCAGGUGAUGUGGCCGCGGGCACCCCCCCGGCAGGGCGGGAGCCAGGAUCCAAACCCUCCCCGAUGCCCAGGCACGGCCCGGCCCUGAAGCAGGAAGGCUCGCCGUCUGUGGGGUCUGCCCAGGCCCCACCUCCCUUCUCAGGGCGGCUCCGAGCCAGGUGAGGGGGGCAGCAGGUGCGCUGCUCGAGCCCGGAAACGUGACCUCUAGGAACGUGUCCUAAGGAAGUGACACUGUUACUGGCGUUUGUGCAGAGGCUGCUGAACACGUGCCUUUCCUGCCACUGACCCCGUGCCAGGCAUGGCGCUGAGAACCCUAAGUAGAGCCCAUUUGAGGACGAUUGUGACAACGUGCCCAUAACCCACCAGUGAGCAACGGGAAGCCUCCUAAAUGUCCAAGAGACAAUUUACAUAAACAGGGACGCACACGUACCAGGACACGGCCUUAGGCUCCCGACACGUAAUCAACAUUUUUCGAAGCCAGCUGCAACGUGUGUGUGUGCAGGAUGUGCUCACAUGUCUAAUUUUGAAAGUAAGCGUGUGCGUUAAGGACAAAUAGGCCAACGGAAGAGAAGGCAGAGCCCGGAGAUAAACCCUCCUGCACACGGACGCGUCACUCUGGACCAGGGAGCCAAGACCGUUCAGAGAAAGGGCAGCGUCUUCCACAAAAAGUGCCGGGAAAACAGGGUGUCCACCUGCAAAGGGUGCAGCUGGGCCCUCGCCUCACACAGCAGGCAAAAAUUCCCUCAAAACAGAUCAAGGACCUAAAGGUAAGAUCUAAAACAAGAGAACUUUUGGAAGAAAACAGGACAAAAGCUUCAGGACGCUGAUCUUAAAAAUGACUUCUCGGACGUGGCACCAAAGGCAGAGUGAGAAGAAAAAUCGACAAGUCGACUUCAGGAAGGUUAAACGUUUGUGCCUCAAAGACACGACUGGCGUUCCCGCUACGGCUCUGGGGUAGCAAACCCGACUAGCAUCCGUGAGGAGGUGGGUUUACUCCCUGGCCCUGCUCAGUGGGCUAAGGAGCCACAUGGCUGUGGCUGUGGCUGGGGCUGGGGCUGUGGCGUAGCUCCUAUUCGACCCCUAGCCUGGGAACUUCCAUCUGCCUCCGUGUGGCCCAAAAAAAAAAAAAAAAAAAAAAAAAAAAAA
rnacentral:lncRNA from 1 species